rnacentral:misc_RNA from 1 species
GAAUUAGAAGGGUAAGUUUCCAUUUC